AACUUUGCACAUUGGCAGUAUUAUAGCUAGAGGUUUAUUCAUAAGUGAUUAUUGCUAAUUGAAAACUUUCCCAAUACCUCACCAUGAUGACCUUAAUGUAGUCAACAUUGGCAAUUUUUGAUAUUAUCCACAGAAA
ensembl:snRNA U4 U4 spliceosomal RNA